AGCCUCCGCCUCGGCCGCCGCUUCCCCCGGCCCGCAGGGCCCCGGCCCGCGGCCUACCGUCGCCCCGGGCGGGGAGGGAGGCGGCGGAGCGUCGCCGGCGGCCCGGCCGGGCGUGUGUCCCGGUGGCCGGGCCGGCCCCGUGCCCGCCUCAGCCCUCAGGGGUGGCUCCCGCCGCCCUGACAGGAGGCGGCCCGCGGGCCUGUCCCGUCCCGCGGCCCCGCGGGCUCCUCACGCCUUCCGGGGGGGGGCCGCGCCGCGCCGCCCCGUUUAUUCACGUUUUCUCACCGAGCCGUGUCUGCUAGCGAGGCACCCGCUGCUCAUCACUCCUCCCUGUCCUUUAACUCCUUCCUCAUCGUCUCCCGCGUCAACGCUGAGUCAGCGAUGGAUUUGGAAGCGGUGGUGUGGCCAUCCCUGGAGAGCUGCGUCCUGCGCUGGGCUCACCCCUACGAGAGAGACUGGAGAGUCCAACGAAGGGCCACCGAGGUGAAGAAGGGACUGGAGCAUCUCGCCUAUAAGGCAAGGCUGUCAGCGCUGGGACUGUUCGUCCUGGGAAAGAGCAGGCUCAGGUGGUGCCCAGACCCACGACUGGAGGUAAUGGGCACCAAGUGAAACACAAGAGGUUCCCUCUAAACUCCAGGAAACACUGGAGGUGUGAUGGAGCGCUGGCACAGGUUGCCCGGGAAGGAUGUGGAGUCUCCAUCCUUGGAGGUGUUCAAGCCAUCUGGUCACGUUCCUGGGCAACCGGCUCCAGGUGGCCCUGCUUGAGGUUGGACCAGAUGGCUUCUGAAGGUCUCUUCCAACCUCAGCCACUCUCUGAUGCUGUGAAGCAUUUUGUGUUCAGGUGUGAAUAUGUCACCCUCCCACCAUAAUAAAAGACCAGUAUUUCUUGA